rnacentral:lncRNA from 1 species
CUUGGUGGGCUUCCUUCUCCGCUGUCCCUUGGAUGUCCAGAUGCUUGUGCUGGUGGCGGGAGAGGAGGCACUUCCUGUGGCCUGCUGCUCUCAGCUUCUGGAGGCCACUGUGCUGUUCGACUCACACACAGGGACUCUGCUACUGUCCCCUGAGUGGCUGGGAACCUCAGGCUGGCACUUUGUUGCCAGAGGCAUCAUGGGUUACUUAAUUGUCCUUGCAACUCCAAAAGGAAUAUGCAGUUCCUGGGGCCAGGCAGGUGUGGGGCUCUGUGCUGCUGAGGGCAGGUUGAAAAAGUCACACAAAACCCGGCUACCUGUGCUUCAAGAACUCAACAUCAGUUACAAAACACGGUGGCACCGGCAGGUUUUAGGGUAGGUGGCCGGAAACGGUGCAGAGGACUCUUGGAUUUUAACAUGAUGGUAAUUUCAAGGCAAUUCUGCCCCAUAAAACAUGAGGGUGAAUGAUGGCUCAUGUUGAACACCCUUCACCAGUAAUGACUUUAGUCAUUGUUUGUUUCUUUCUCCAUUUUUUUCUUGUUGUUGUUGUUCUUUACUGGGCUGAGCACAGCAGAAACAGUGGGAACUACAGUAAAGUGUCAUUUACAACACUGAGUCCCAGGUGGGAGCCCUGGGCCCGCCUGAGUUGCAAUCCCGAGAAAGUCCAGUCGAGCUGUUUUAUUUCCUGGUGUUUAUUUCUAUCACCUUCCCAGAGUCGAGUUUAACCUUGGCCUGCUUUUUCCCUCUGCUUUUUAAAGAAGAGCUACUGUCUCCCCAAGAAGAGCUAGGACUGAAAGUUUCUCCUGUGGAGACAGUUUAAAGAUCUCCUGGCUUCAAACACCAGCUGUAUGUGUGUUGAAUUAUGAAUUCCAGAAUUAACUCGCUCCAGAACCGGCUGGUUGACUAAGUAGCCUCUGGACCCUUGAGCACUCCCUGGAGUCCUAAUGCUUCCAGAAAUAGGUGGUCAUGUCAGUAUCUGGGGCAGGUGCACGCCAUUCUUCUGCCUCGUUGACAGUCUUGUUUAUUUCAUAUCAGCCAGACACCUGAUCUCAACCCUAAGUUGUCCUUGCAAUUUGGAAGUCAAAAAAGCGAUUUACCUUACAAAGAAGUAAGGAGUUACUGGUUUAAACUGCAACAGCCCACCA